GCAGGCCUAAGACCCGCAAGUCGAGCGGAUGAAAAGAGCUUGCUCUCUGAUUCAGCGGCGGACGGGUGAGUAAUGCCUAGGAAUCUGCCUGGUAGUGGGGGACAACGUUUCGAAAGGAACGCUAAUACCGCAUACGUCCUACGGGAGAAAGCAGGGGACCUUCGGGCCUUGCGCUUUCAGAUGAGCCUAGGUCGGAUUAGCUAGUUGGUGGGGUAAUGGCCCACCAAGGCGACGAUCCGUAACUGGUCUGAGAGGAUGAUCAGUCACACUGGAACUGAGACACGGUCCAGACUCCUACGGGAGGCAGCAGUGGGGAAUAUUGGACAAUGGGCGAAAGCCUGAUCCAGCCAUGCCGCGUGUGUGAAGAAGGUCUUCGGAUUGUAAAGCACUUUAAGUUGGGAGGAAGGGCAGUAAGUUAAUACCUUGCUGUUUUGACGUUACCAACAGAAUAAGCACCGGCUAACUUCGUGCCAGCAGCCGCGGUAAUACGAAGGGUGCAAGCGUUAAUCGGAAUUACUGGGCGUAAAGCGCGCGUAUGUGGUUCAGCAAAUUGAAGGUGAAA
rnacentral:rRNA from 2 species